rnacentral:lncRNA from 1 species
GUUUCCUAAUCUUGUUUGCUGACAGCCAAGACGAGGCUUUGAAUGGAAGGUGAACUUGGCAAGUGGGAGACUUGGCCUGAGGGAGCCGUGGGUGCCAGUGUGUUGGUCUGAUGAUCUUCCUUGAUUUCAGGCACUUCUGGAAUACAAACCUUAUUAAAGAUCAGCCCUGUUGCCUGCUUUCCAGUCUAACUCAACAGCUGUGCAGAAUGCCAAGAAACUCAGUCUGGAGUGUGGUGUAGCAUGUACUGCUGCUGGAAAUAGACACAGAAACAAACUUUUUGCCUCCUAUCUGUAGAAAUAAAAAUCUGACCAGGUAUCUAUUGUGUUGAUUC